rnacentral:rRNA from 1 species
UUAAAUUGAAGAGUUUGAUCAUGGCUCAGAUUGAACGCUGGCGGCAGGCCUAACACAUGCAAGUCGAACGGUAACAGGAAGCAGCUUGCUGCUUUGCUGACGAGUGGCGGACGGGUGAGUAAUGUCUGGGAAACUGCCUGAUGGAGGGGGAUAACUACUGGAAACGGUGGCUAAUACCGCAUAACGUCGCAAGACCAAAGAGGGGGACCUUCGGGCCUCUUGCCAUCAGAUGUGCCCAGAUGGGAUUAGCUAGUUGGUGAGGUAACGGCUCACCAAGGCGACGAUCCCUAGCUGGUCUGAGAGGAUGACCAGCCACACUGGAACUGAGACACGGUCCAGACUCCUACGGGAGGCAGCAGUGGGGAAUAUUGCACAAUGGGCGCAAGCCUGAUGCAGCCAUGCCGCGUGUAUGAAGAAGGCCUUCGGGUUGUAAAGUACUUUCAGCGGGGAGGAAGGUGUUGUGGUUAAUAACCGCAGCAAUUGACGUUACCCGCAGAAGAAGCACCGGCUAACUCCGUGCCAGCAGCCGCGGUAAUACGGAGGGUGCAAGCGUUAAUCGGAAUUACUGGGCGUAAAGCGCACGCAGGCGGUCUGUCAAGUCGGAUGUGAAAUCCCCGGGCUCAACCUGGGAACUGCAUUCGAAACUGGCAGGCUUGAGUCUUGUAGAGGGGGUAGAAUUCCAGGUGUAGCGGUGAAAUGCGUAGAGAUCUGGAGGAAUACCGGUGGCGAAGGCGGCCCCCUGGACAAAGACUGACGCUCAGGUGCGAAAGCGUGGGGAGCAAACAGGAUUAGAUACCCUGGUAGUCCACGCCGUAAACGAUGUCUACUUGGAGGUUGUGCCCUUGAGGCGUGGCUUCCGGAGCUAACGCGUUAAGUAGACCGCCUGGGGAGUACGGCCGCAAGGUUAAAACUCAAAUGAAUUGACGGGGGCCCGCACAAGCGGUGGAGCAUGUGGUUUAAUUCGAUGCAACGCGAAGAACCUUACCUGGUCUUGACAUCCACAGAAGAAUCCAGAGAUGGAUUUGUGCCUUCGGGAACUGUGAGACAGGUGCUGCAUGGCUGUCGUCAGCUCGUGUUGUGAAAUGUUGGGUUAAGUCCCGCAACGAGCGCAACCCUUAUCCUUUGUUGCCAGCGGUCCGGCCGGGAACUCAAAGGAGACUGCCAGUGAUAAACUGGAGGAAGGUGGGGAUGACGUCAAGUCAUCAUGGCCCUUACGACCAGGGCUACACACGUGCUACAAUGGCGCAUACAAAGAGAAGCGACCUCGCGAGAGCAAGCGGACCUCAUAAAGUGCGUCGUAGUCCGGAUUGGAGUCUGCAACUCGACUCCAUGAAGUCGGAAUCGCUAGUAAUCGUGGAUCAGAAUGCCACGGUGAAUACGUUCCCGGGCCUUGUACACACCGCCCGUCACACCAUGGGAGUGGGUUGCAAAAGAAGUAGGUAGCUUAACCUUCGGGAGGGCGCUUACCACUUUGUGAUUCAUGACUGGGGUGAAGUCGUAACAAGGUAACCGUAGGGGAACCUGCGGUUGGAUCACCUCCUUACCUUAAAGAA